rnacentral:lncRNA from 1 species
AUGGGGAUCCCAUCCUUACUACUGGGGAGAGGAUCUUCUACACCAGUUCACAGCAAGGUCAAGCAUUUAUAUCUUAAUCUCUAUAGAUACACUUGUUUGACCUGCAGAAAAAAAGCCAUGUUCAUAACAACACACGUGCUCCAGAAAGCUCCUGUCUGCACCAGUUUGUAUGGGAGUUGCACAACUUAUUUCCAGCAAGAUUCUAUCCUUUUUCUGAAAAAGUGA